CACAGACAGGAGAAGUUGUAUUCGGAGUUAAUAAAACAUGGCAGAAGCAGAAAGGAAAAGGCGUCAGAAAGAGAGCCAAGAUAGCUGCCAGCCUUCAUCUGGGAGAAGCACUCUGGGAGAAGCACUCCCAGAUGAGGGGUUCAUUGCAAAAUGUUCAAGAGGUCAAAACGGAAUCCAACUCAUACAAUCAAAAGAAGGACAUCUGUCAGCUUCCUCCCACUCUACCAAAUAGACAACCAUGGAAACCGCAGCCACACUGCCUGAUCAGUGGCCUGAAGGUUCAGUCACACAGCAUCUAACACUUCUUCUGAAGUCCUAUAAAGAUUCCUCUAAACUGAAGGCUCAUGAAAGUUCAUGUGGGUUUCUGCUAAUAUGGGAUUUGUGACCUUUCCAUUACAGCAUGCUACGUUUGAAUAUCAGGCCAAUUGCUCUGCAGUAACAUGCCAGCAUCUGUGAUAGCUAGGCAUGCUGUCAUUUUGAGUAAUGAUUGGUAAUUUUCCUUUUUUUUUUUUUUUUUUAAAUGCAAGUGUUACUUUUUACAUUUGAAAUCUUUCCAGAAAUUCUAAUGAUACACAAUGUUGUAUACUGUAUUACAUUAUGCUUUCUCUGCUAUUGUUUUCCACCCUGAUUUACGAAAUUGCUGUCAAGCUGAUCUCAGACCUAUAAGCAUCGACAGUUGGAACACCAUCUCAGACAAAGCUGUAUUAUUAAAUCAGUGACAUGACUUCAAGGUUGGUUUCCUGUAGAGUUUGGUUCAACUCAUAGUUCAGCAUGAGUG